UGGUGACUCUAACAACACAACUUCUCUGACCCGAGACUCUACACUCUUCAGAGUAGGGGUGAAGGCACGUCAGCAGCAGCCAAGGAGUCAUGAAGAGACCCUGGGGAGCUGUGCUGGGGCUUCUGUGGGUGCCGGUUUGCUGGGUGAGAGGGGUGGAGGUGGAGCAGAGACCUCCAGCCCUGAGCGUCCAGGAGGGAGCCAGCUCUACCCUGAGCUGCAACUUUUCCAGCUCAGUGAGCAGCUUGCAGUGGUUCCGACAGAACCCUGGGGGCGGCGGCCUCACGCAGCUGUUUUACAUCGCGUCAGGGAUGAAGCAGGACGGGAGGUUAGAAUGCACGCUGAACAGUAAGGAGCGGCACAGCAGCCUGCACAUCAGGGCCUCCAGGCAGGAAGACUCAGCCACCUACCUGUGUGCGGUGGAGGCACAGUGCUCCCUGCUGCCCUGCAGCCUGUCCCCAAAGUGCAGCUGGGCUCGCAGCCCUGGCUCCUCCGCCAGGACGCCUUCCUACCUCAGCAGCAUUUGCACAGUGUGCUUGGGACCAUCUGGGUUUCUGCAGGCUCAAAACUGGUGGCGGUGUGCCUUGCCAAUAUACUAUUACAAAAUCAAAGUGAUCCAAGAUUUCCCAGAAAGUAAACCAAACCCCACCAGCAGUGUUAGUGCACGAGAAGGGGGCCGUCAUCCUGGAGUACACACAUGA